UCUCCGUAGGUGAACCUGCGGAGGGAUCAUUACAGAGUUCUCGCCCCUCCGGGUAGAUCUCCCACCCACUGUGAUUGAUACUGUGUUGCUUUGGCGGGCCGCCGGGCCCUGCCCGCCCGCCGGCUCCGGCUGGCGCGCGCCCGCCAGAGGCGCCGCAAACUCUGAAUGUCAGCGUCGUCUGAGUACUAUAUAAUAGUUAAAACUUUCAACAACGGAUCUCUUGGUUCUG
rnacentral:misc_RNA from 1 species